UGAGGAAUAUUGGCAUCAUGUCGCUAGACUGAACCAGCCAAGUAGCGUGCGGGAUGAAGGCCCUCCGGGUCGUAAACCGCUUUUAGACGGGGAUAAAAGGGCGUACGUGUACGCCGUAUUGCAUGUACCGUCAGAAAAAGGACCGGCUAAUUCCGUGCCAGCAGCCGCGGUAAUACGGAAGGUCCGGGCGUUAUCCGGAUUUAUUGGGUUUAAAGGGAGCGUAGGCGGACUUUCAAGUCAGUGGUAAAAUCGUGUGGCUCAACCAUACCUCGCCAUUGAAACUGGAAGUCUGGAGUGCACACAGGGGUGCCGGAAUUCAUGGUGUAGCGGUGAAAUGCUUAGAUAUCAUGAAGAACUCCGAUCGCGAAGGCAAGUGCCCGGGGUGCAACUGACGCUGAGGCUCGAAGGUGCGGGUAUCGAACAGGAUUAGAUACC
rnacentral:rRNA from 1 species